GACGAGGGGUCCUAGCGUUGUUCGGAAUCACUGGGCGUAAAGCGUGUGUAGGCGGGCUUUUAAGUCAGGUGUGAAAUCCCAUGGCUCAACCAUGGAAUUGCAUUUGAAACUGGAAGUCUUGAGUGUGGGAGAGAUUGGUAGAAUACCUGGUGUAGUGGUGAAAUACGUAGAUAUCAGGUGGAAUACCGGUGGCGAAGGCGGCCAAGUGGCCCAACACUGACGCUGAGGCACGAAAGCGUGGGGAGCAAACAGG
rnacentral:rRNA from 1 species